CUGGCUUCCUGGGUACAGGUCGGAGGAGUUCCCGCGGGCCUGAAAGCUCAAGUGAACCAGAAGGGACUAGAAUACGGUCAUCAGUUUGGGUUGGGAAUGGUGACGUCCAUGCUGAAGAAGAAUCCCAUCCCAGAUAUUUAUGGGUCCCACGACGUGCCACUUUUGGGGGACGUUCAGUUCUCUGUAACAAGGAUCCAGAUCAACGACCUUCAGCUGGGCGACUCCGCCAUCAGCUUCUCCAAGGGGCUGGGUGUGAAUCUUACCGUC